CGAGCCUUGUGCUUUGCGCUGGGCAGAGGGGGGAGGGGUGGUAGUUACACUCUCUAGCACAGGAACCGAGCAGGAGGGAGAGAGAGAGAAAGAGAGCCAGGGACAACAACGUCACAUUAGAAAGGUUGCCAUGGUAGCAGAUACAGGGAGAACAAGUGUAGACGAUGCCACAAGAAGGAUGAUGAAAUUCCUCAUAUCACCUGAGCUGGCUGUGGAGUACAACAUGCUUGGCCGACAUGGGAAAAAAAAGUUCAGAGAUUUGCGUCUUUUUAAUGUUGUGUAUGAGACACUGAAGAAUAAUUAUUUAACAUCAAAAGUCAACUUGCAAGAAGCAGAGAAGGCUCUGUCCAAGUGGUUCACUGGAGCUAAAGACAGAGGAGGACUGAGGGCUGCAAGGGUACAAAAUAGACUUACGGCUCUGUAAAAAAAACAAAAAACGAAACCCUGCUGAUUCAAGAUAAACUUUUGAGUUUUCCAUCUGACUUUUUCCCCAUGUUGCUACAGUUCCAAAUAUCUAAGGAAUUUUGCUGUAGUUUGACAUUUCUAGUUUUUUAAAAGUUUACACACUUUGGUAUACAGUUACGUAAAAUCACAGUUGUUGGACAAAAUAAAUGUGAAAAAUGUUG